UUCGUUAGCUCGGGCGUUAUAUUUGCUUUUGGCUCGUGGGACUUAAGUAAAACAUGAAAAAACUUUACCUCCAUGUUGAAGGCGUUCACUGCAUCCAUAACGACUGGUUAAUGUUGAAAGCCGACUGACUAGUCUUUGUAUUUGAUUACUUUACCUUGACCAUAACCACGCGCAGCUUCACCUAUCUACAGCAUAACAACCACGCGCAUCGGGAAGCUUUAUUUUCCUUUCGACGUGGACUAACCAAAGCUCAGCUAAGCUAGAAACUGCUGCUAGCUUAACGGUUCCACCCUGUAGACAGCGCCUGUGAUGUCACGAGCAGAUUUUUGUGAAUGAGACAGUAACACGUUCCCCCUCAGAUGGCUGGAAUGGAGAACUCUACCAGCGGGAUUAUAUAUGAAUACUAUUAUGAUUACCUGGAUCCCGUGAUUGUGGAUGAGAGAAAGUUAAAGUACUAUAAAUAUUCCGUUGUUAUAAUAUUUUGGGUAGUCGUCAUUACCUUUGUGGCAUGUCUUUUUCUCACUUUGAAUCUACUGUCUCGCAGUGGAAACCUACCAAAGAAUCACACGUCAACUAAUUCGCUAGAGACUCGAUCUUUAUGAGAACAUAGUGAAAAACGGAGGCGAUGGACUCAAAUUCAAAAUGUGGUGAUAAUGUGCAACAGCACUAAUGACAUUUAAAAUGAGAAGAAGUGACCAUCAUUCCUAACAUCUCGCAAGAUCACUGCAAAGUUCAAGGCUUCCUUAACCAUUAAAAAAAU